rnacentral:rRNA from 1 species
UUUAAGGUGACCAUGGCGAUAGGGUCCACCCCUUACCAUUCCGAACAGGGAAGUUAAGCCUAUCAGCGCCGAUGGUACUGCUAUACCAAGUGGGAGAGUAGGUCGUCGCCUUUU